UGAUUCUGAAAACAGUGUCCAGAUGACUGCGACUGAAACCUUUUCAACGACACAUAUAAGAAGGUUUACCAACCGUCAAUAAAGCCGACGAAGAAGAAAAGAUGCGUCACAUCCGGUGACGGUGAGAUUUGAGAACCCCCGGCGCCAAGAACAACUUAUUUAUUUUGGAUAAACCGACAGUAAAGACAUUUCUGAUGAGUACAACGGUGAACUCUGGAGAAAUAAUCAUUCUCAGUGAUGAUGAUGAGAAAGACUGUGAAAAUGACAUAUCAUGCAGUGAACCCUCGAUUCUCAUCGUGGAGGUGGAGGAUGUGAAGAAGAGUGACUGUGCUUUACCUCCCACUGCUCUGGAUGAAGACCUGGUUGUUACCUUCUCCCGCCGCGCUGAGGUGCUGCCUCACGCUCGCUACGACUGUCCCAUACAUCCAUUCACGGCUACAGAUUGUGAGAUCGGCGCUCAUGUGGCCGGUAACCAUCUCAUUUGUGAUCAGUGCUUCUGCUACAUCUGCGACAAGCUGGCGUCAUCAUGUGUAAUGUGGAUUUACAGCGGUGCGUGUCACUGCAACAGCCACAAGAGGAGCACCUUCUGGAACAACCUCAGAAACAGCACACUGCUGGGAGGACUGAAUACUUUCAACAUCACGCUGUCUGAAUUAGAUGCUCACCUCCGACAUGCAGAGACGAUGCUGCAGAGCUUCAGACAAGGGCUCUCUGCACAGUUUUCGUCUUACCUGAAGGGAAAGACGGCAGAGGAAAACGGUCUCAGCCAAUCGAACCAGCAAGCCCUCGUCUACGAUUACACACCUGUGUACGAGUUUGUGUCGUCAUUCCUGAACAAAGCAGAUAAACAGGACGGCAGAGCUGCUGCCAUCAUGAGACUGGGAGCUGCUGAGGACUUUAUUCGACAUUUUCAAGUCUCAGGGACUUUCAUCUUACAGUCUCCCAUAGCUAAUGUGGCUGAGGCCAAAGUGGCGUUACUGCAGAGGGUAAUAGCGUCCGUGCAGAGACAGAUGGUGAUGGCUGAUUUUACGCCAGAGUUCACCCACAAACUGCAGGAUUUUUACAAGAGAUUCCAUUUCCCUGCUGAGCUGAAGAGCAUGAGGAACAGCCUGUGUGUUCGUCCUUGGGAUGAUGUCCUGCUGGUGUCUGUGCUGAAGGGGCAGAAUGUGUCGGGUGUCCGCAAAGACAAAGGCAAGAAGGACGUCCUGAUUGAACAGAUUACUGUAGUUCUACUGAGAACAGAAUUACUACAGCGACAGCACAGGUACAGAGAAUUGUGUCGCUACCUGCGAGUCAUCCAGACUGAUGAUUCCAGACUCCUCCAGCAGGUACAAGACCUCAUCCCUUUCUUCAUGUGCAUGGAGGGGGACUUAACGUCCGCUCUACACAGUUUGUUCCCCUCAGUGAACGCCCCCGCCUCGCGCUUCACUCCACAUCUUUUCCUCUUUUAUCUCUGCAUCUUUAAAACAGCAACAACACCGAAGCUGAUGGUCAGUCAGCCAGCACAGCUCUGCUGUUCUGAUGCAGCAUGGGAGCCAAUUAAAGAUGCUGUGCCACUAACACGUGCUGCACUGGUGAGGUUUGCUCUCAGAGUUCAGAGAUGCUGCCCUGCCGUCUUCAAUGACUCUCAGUGUUGGACCAGUUUACUCACAAUCGUCAACACACCUUGUGGUUCACUCACCGCUCUACCAGCACCGAGCCCGCAAUUUCUACGCGAAGCAAAGGAUGUUGUGAAUUCGAUACUGCUCAACGAGCACCGGUUAAACAUACAGAUCCCACGAUUCUUUCACGAGGUGUACCCAGAUCAGGCCUUGUUGCUGUUGGUAACAGGGGCUUUAGGUUUGAGAAUCCUUAAUGCUGCUCUCAGUCCAGCCCUCCCUGUCCUCAAUACGUUUAAGGAGAAUGUGUGGGCUCUCGAGUGGUUAUGGGACAGUUUGUCCUCCAGCGCAGAACGCCUCAGCUCCUUCUUACAGGAGAUCACACAGGAGAUGGAAAACACAACAGAUGGGGAUCAUUUGUUACACUUUCUUCGCACCAUUGUACCCACUCUGUCUUCUUCAACAGAGAACUGGGAUCACACCUACUGCAGUCCAGUGGCUGUUAAACUCUUCUCCUCCAAAGUGAAGGCCCCUUCGCAGUGUCAGCUGUAAGUCCCUCAACUCUCAUCAGCUGAUCCUUCCUCUAGGGCUGAUCCUCUCUCGCAUUAUUAGCUCCAUUUGCACAUGAAACAACCAAACUCUGGGCCUGAUUUCAUGCUGAUGUUCCUGGCAAACACUGAGAUCGCAGCACUUUCUCCUCUAGACUGAGUCGAGCACAGUGGAAAGCUGGAUGAGCGACAGAUGAACGUGUGUCGGACUGGGUUUUUAUACAGACGUCAGAAUUUACAUUGCCAGACCAGGUGUCAAUAGACAAAUGAAGAGACUUUAAACACAUCCUCAUUGUUAUUCAUUUAAUAACAUUAUAGAGACACAUUAUGUUGCUUCAUUCUUUAAUGACUUUAUCAGUGUGCUGAUGGUCUAAACUGGAUAAAAGUUUAAUUCUGCACUGUGGGAUUUUGUUUUUAUUGUAACUGAGUGGCGUUUGUUAAUCACUGUAUGGAAAAUGCUUUUGCAUAUUCACUUAUUAUAAAUGCUCAUAAGAGGUAACAUGUAAUGUUGGUUAAUAAAUGGAAAAAAUGA